UGGGGAAUCUUCCGCAAUGGACGAAAGUCUGACGGAGCAACGCCGCGUGAGUGAAGAAGGCCUUCGGGUCGUAAAGCUCUGUUGUCAGGGAAGAAAGGUACUUCUGUGAAUAAUGGGAGUAAAUGACGGUACCUGACGAGGAAGCCACGGCUAACUACGUGCCAGCAGCCGCGGUAAUACGUAGGUGGCAAGCGUUAUCCGGAAUGAUUGGGCGUAAAGGGUGCGUAGGCGGCACGAUCAGUCUGGAGUAAAAGCCGAUGGCUCAACCAUCGUAAGCUUUGGAAACUGUCGAGCUAGCGUGCAGGAGAGGUUAGUGGAAUUCCAUGUGUAGCGGUAAAAUGCGUAGAUAUACGGAGGAACACCAGUGGCGAAGGCGGCUAACUGGCCUGUAACGGACGCUGAAGCACGAAAGCGUGGGGAGCAAAUA
rnacentral:rRNA from 1 species